AUGGAGCUCCAGUUCCAGCAGCAGCAGCAGCAGCAAUGCCAGUACGAGGCGGCGGUGGGCAAGGCGGCGGCGGCGGCGGCGGCGAAGGGGAGGGGCAGCAGCAAGUGCAAGUUCGUCGGGGUGCGGCAGCGGCCGUCGGGGCGGUGGGUGGCGGAGAUCAAGGACACCACGCACAAGAUACGGGUGUGGCUCGGCACCUUCGAGACCGCCGAGGAGGCCGCGCGCGCCUACGACGAGGCCGCCUGCCUCCUCCGGGGCUCCAACACGCGGACCAACUUCGCCACCGCCGCCCCCGCCGCCGCCUCCUCGCCGCCGGACUCGCCGCUCGCCUCCAGGAUCCGCACCCUGCUCACCCACAAGAAGCUCAAGAAGAGCGCCUCGCCGCCGCCGCCGCGGGCGCCGUCCCAGCAGCCCGCUGUCACCAUCAGCCUCGCCACGGCAGCUAGUAAUGCCAGCGCCGGUAACAGCACCAGCAGCACCAGCUCGACCAUCAGCUUCGCCAUGAGCGCCGGUGGAGCCGCCGCCCACCACACUCCCGCUCCCGGCCUCUCUAACCACAUGACUUACCACCAGUGGAUCAACCACGGAGGCGAACAGCUCCAUCAGCACCUCGAGCAUCAGCCAUGGCCGGCAACGCUCAGCCCGGCUGCCCCGACGCUCGCCGCGCGACGCAACGUGGCCGAGUGCCGGGUGAUCGCGGACGCGGCGAGGCCGGAGAAGCAAGAGGACUCCGCGUCGCCCGGCGCCGCCAUGAGCGGGGUCGUCCAGCAGGAACAGGACGACGGGUUCGACAUCGGGAGCGACCCCUGCGACUCGCUGUGGGAUCUGCCGCCGAUCUGUCAGCUGUCUUGCAGGUCUCUCAUGUACUAG
rnacentral:rRNA from 1 species